AGAUCACGUAAAUUUUUAAUAGUCGAACAGACUACUUUUAAUAGCUCCUUCACCAUUAUACUCAUUUAAUUCAACAUCGAGGUCGCAACCUUAAUUAUUAAUAAGAACUCACUAAUUAAAUAACGCUGUUAUCCCUAGAGUAAUUUUUUUACCUUUAAUAAAUUAUUUAAAAAUAUAUCUCUUCAAUUAUUUCCCCAACAAAAAAUUAAUUUAUUUAUAAACUUCUAGGGUCUUCUCGUCCCAAGGAUUCAUAAGAGCUUUUUUACUCUUAAAUUAAAUUCAAAAUUAUCAAAAAAAACAUUCCCUUUAGUUUUUACCUUUCAUUCCAGCUUUCAAUUAAAAAA
rnacentral:rRNA from 1 species